UGGGGGAUAUUGCACAAUGGGGGAAACCCUGAUGCAGCAACGCCGCGUGAAGGAAGACGGUUUUCGGAUUGUAAACUUCUGUUCUUGGUGAAGAAUAAUGACGGUAGCCAAGCAGCAAGCCACGGCUAACUACGUGCCAGCAGCCGCGGUAAUACGUAGGGAGCGAGCGUUGUCCGGAAUUACUGGGUGUAAAGGGAGCGUAGGCGGAUUGAUAAGUCAGUUGUGAAAGUUUGCGGCUCAACCGUAAAAUUGCAGUUGAUACUGUCAGUCUUGAGUACAGUAGAGGUAAGCGGAAUUCGUGGUGUAGCGGUGAAAUGCUUAGAUAUCACGAAGAACUCCAAUUGCGAAGGCAGCUUGCUGGACUGUAACUGACGCUGAGGUGCGAAAGCCAGGGGAGCGAACG
rnacentral:rRNA from 1 species